AUUGAACGCUGGCGGCAGGCCUAACACAUGCAAGUCGAGCGGAUGAGUGGAGCUUGCUCCAUGAUUCAGCGGCGGACGGGUGAGUAAUGCCUAGGAAUCUGCCUGGUAGUGGGGGACAACGUUUCGAAAGGAACGCUAAUACCGCAUACGUCCUACGGGAGAAAGCAGGGGACCUUCGGGCCUUGCGCUAUCAGAUGAGCCUAGGUCGGAUUAGCUAGUAGGUGAGGUAAUGGCUCACCUAGGCGACGAUCCGUAACUGGUCUGAGAGGAUGAUCAGUCACACUGGAACUGAGACACGGUCCAGACUCCUACGGGAGGCAGCAGUGGGGAAUAUUGGACAAUGGGCGAAAGCCUGAUCCAGCCAUGCCGCGUGUGUGAAGAAGGUCUUCGGAUUGUAAAGCACUUUAAGUUGGGAGGAAGGGCAGUAAGUUAAUACCUUGCUGUUUUGUACGUUACCAACAGAAUAAGCACC
rnacentral:rRNA from 1 species